rnacentral:rRNA from 1 species
UACGUAGGGGGCAAGCGUUGUCCGGAUUUAUUGGGCGUAAAGAGCGUGUAGGCGGCCAUACAGGUCAGCUGUGAAAACUCGAGGCUCAACCUCGAGACGUCGGUUGAAACCGUAUGGCUAGAGUCCGGAAGAGGAGAGUGGAAUUCCCGGUGUAGCGGUGAAAUGCGCAGAUAUCGGGAAGAACACGCGUGGCGAAGGCGGCUCUCUGGGACGGUACUGACGCUGAGACGCGAAAGCGUGGGGAGCGAACAGG